rnacentral:rRNA from 1 species
AUGCGUCAAGUCCAGGAGCUACUCGACAAAGGUUAUAUUCGCGAAUCCCUUGGUCCUUGUGUUGUUCCUAUUAUUCUAGUGCCGAAAAAAGAUGGUACAUCGCGUAUGUGUGUCGAUUGUAGAGGCAUUAAUAAUAUUACUAUUCGUUAUCGUCAUCCUGUUCCUAGGCUAGAUGAUAUGCUUGAUGAAUUGAGUGGCUCCACAAUAUUCUCCAAAUUUGAUUUAAGUAGUGGAUACCAUCAAAUUCGUAUGAAAUUGGGAGAUGAAUGGAAAACAACAUUCAAAACUAAGUUUGGUUUAUACGAGUGGUUAGUCAUGCCUUUUGGGUUAACUAAUGCACCUAGUACUUUCAUGAUAUUAAUGAACAAAGUUUUACAUGCUUUCAUUGAACGAUUUGUGGUAGUCUAUUUUGAUGAUAUACUAAUUUAUAGUAAAUCUUUGGAGGAACAUUUGAAACAUUUAUGUGAUGUUUUUAUUGCUCUACGUGAUGCACGUUUGUUUGGUAACAUUGGAAAGUGCACCUUUUGCACUGACCGAGUAUCUUUUCUUGGCUAUGUUGUUACUCCAUAG